rnacentral:tRNA from 1 species
UGCGUCCAUAGCUCAAUAGGAAAGAGCAACGGCCUUCUAAGUCGUAGGUUGCAGGUUCAACUCCUGCUGGACGUAU